CAGUCGCCACGGGAAUACGUAGGGUGCGGGCGUUAAUCGGAAUUACUGGGCGUAAAGCGUGCGUAGGCGGUUCGUUAAGUCUGUUGUGAAAGCCCCGGGCUCAACCUGGGAAUGGCAAUGGAUACUGGCGAGCUAGAGUGUGUCAGAGGAUGGUGGAAUUCCCGGUGUAGCGGUGAAAUGCGUAGAGAUCGGGAGGAACAUCAGUGGCGAAGGCGGCCAUCUGGGACAACACUUACGCUGAGGCGCGAAAGCGUGGGGAGCAAACAGGAUUAGAUACCCCUGUAGUCCCUGUCUCUUAUAC
rnacentral:rRNA from 1 species